UCAACUCAAAUUUGUAUGGAGUUGGAACGUUUAAUUAUGUUUGCCGCUAGGGGCGCUGUUUCAACUCCAUACAAAUUUGAGUUA
rnacentral:pre_miRNA from 1 species